UGAAAGCAUCUAAGCACGAAACUUGCCCCGAGAUGAGUUCUCCCUGAGACUUAGAGUCUCCUGAAGGAACGUUGAAGACGACGACGUUGAUAGGCCGGGUGUGUAAGCGCAGCGAUGCGUUGAGCUAACCGGUACUAAUGAACCGUGAGGCUUAACCUUACAACGCCGAAG
rnacentral:rRNA from 3 species